rnacentral:rRNA from 1 species
AGCGAACGCUGGCGGCAGGCCUAACACAUGCAAGUCGAACGAACUCUUCGGAGUUAGUGGCGGACGGGUGAGUAACACGUGGGAACGUGCCUUUUGGUUCGGAAUAACUCAGGGAAACUUGUGCUAAUACCGAAUGUGCCCUUCGGGGGAAAGAUUUAUCGCCAUUAGGGCGGCCCGCGUCUGAUUAGCUAGUUGGUGAGGUAACGGCUCACCAAGGCGACGAUCAGUAGCUGGUCUGAGAGGAUGACCAGCCACACUGGGACUGAGACACGGCCCAGACUCCUACGGGAGGCAGCAGUGGGGAAUCUUGCGCAAUGGGCGAAAGACUGACGCAGCCAUGCCGCGUGAAUGAUGAAGGUCUUAGGAUUGUAAAAUUCUUUCACCGGGGACGAUAAUGACGGUACCCGGAGAAGAAGCCCCGGCUAACUUCGUG